ensembl:lncRNA
UUCUUUGAGUGUUAUGUCAAUAUCAGUAAGACUUACAGUGAUUCUGACUAUUUAGGAAGAAACCUUAGAGUGUCACCUUUCAAAAUAUACCAAAACCAUGCAUAUACUCCAAAUGGUUCAAGAACAGUGUGCAAUUUACUUUGGGUAUGUCUUUUUUUAGGCGUUUUGCUCAAAUUUUACCGGAUUUUUAAAGGGUUAAUAUGUUUAUGAUGAUGUUUAAAGCGCUUUGGUGGCCAUGGGUCUGUUGAAAGCGCUAUAUAGCCUAAAUGCAGUCCAUUUACCAUUUUACAUAUUUUGUAUAGGAGAAUGUUAACAUUUAUAUAAGUUUUUUUUGUUUUUGUUACCACACUAUUUUUUACAGUCCAUCUACCACACACAACUUUUCACCUACAUUGUUCAAUUCCUUUUUUUUUUGGAAAGUUAUUAAUUGGAUUUUUGUAAACUCUUAUGAAUUAUAAGGUACUACCGGUAUUUCAUAUGUGUCACUAUACUUAUUACAUAAACAAUCUAUUAAUACUACCCUCUUCUUUUAGGCAAAUCACAUUAGUGUGCGUAGAGGGGACGGAGCUACCACCAAUACAGAAAUGCACAGAGUGCUGCAGCCGGUAUCACUGCCCACUGUGCAAUUCAAACAUUUUUAAACCCACAGACCGAUACCGUGUAAUCAUUCAUUUAAAGGCUCAUCUUGCGACAUCUGUAAAAUACAAAGAUGCCAAAAAGUGUUUUGGAGAAGGUUUGUCUAGAGGUGAUCCUCUCAGACGGAGAUGCCGCCUACCUUACCCUGUCAUUAACAUGUACAGCCUUGAGGGAUGUGGUGUGGUGAAUGUCAAAAAACUGCCCCAGGCUGUAAGAGACAUGUGUGUCCCUUUUAAAAUUGUACAAUGCAGAAAUUGCAGAUGUUUUUUCAAAGACUGGGUGGGGUACUGUAGAAACGGAAGACAUGGAGACCUGCGAGGGUUUUAUACAGACCCUGAAUUUCCUGAGCAUUGCCCAGACUGCCAGUUUUAGGGGGCAGGAAUGAGGUGUGGUGUGCACAGUGUGCAAUAGUUUAUUUGGAACUGUUCAUGUUUUAUUUUCUCUUGAAAUAGGGACUUCCCCCACAACCUUACGGGCCUGACUGUGGCAUCUUCAUUCUGAUGGUCAGAUUUGACAAAUUUUACUAAUUAGAUUGUGUAAUUUCCAAUAAAUAUUGCAAAACCAUGAAGUGUUAAUUUGAU